rnacentral:rRNA from 1 species
UACGGGGGGAGCAAGCGUUGUUCGGAUUUACUGGGCGUAAAGGGCGCGUAGGCGGUCAGCACAAGUCAGUUGUGAAAUCUCCGGGCUUAACUCGGAAAGGUCAACUGAUACUGUGCGACUAGAGUGCGGAAGGGGCAACUGGAAUUCUCGGUGUAGCGGUGAAAUGCGUAGAUAUCGAGAGGAACACCUGCGGCGAAGGCGGGUUGCUGGGCCGACACUGACGCUGAUGCACGAAAGCCAGGGGAGCGAACGGG